rnacentral:rRNA from 1 species
AUUGAACGCUGGCGGCAGGCUUAACACAUGCAAGUCGAGCGGAGCGAGGGUGCUUGCACCUUAGCUUAGCGGCGGACGGGUGAGUAAUGCUUAGGAAUCUGCCUAUUAGUGGGGGACAACAUUCCGAAAGGAAUGCUAAUACCGCAUACGCCCUACGGGGGAAAGCAGGGGAUCUUCGGACCUUGCGCUAAUAGAUGAGCCUAAGUCGGAUUAGCUAGUUGGUGGGGUAAAGGCCUACCAAGGCGACGAUCUGUAGCGGGUCUGAGAGGAUGAUCCGCCACACUGGGACUGAGACACGGCCCAGACUCCUACGGGAGGCAGCAGUGGGGAAUAUUGGACAAUGGGCGGAAGCCUGAUCCAGCCAUGCCGCGUGUGUGAAGAAGGCCUUUUGGUUGUAAAGCACUUUAAGCGAGGAGGAGGCUACUAGUAUUAAUACUACUGGAUAGUGGACGUUACUCGCAGAAUAAGCACCGGCUAACUCUGUGCCAGCAGCCGCCGCAGUAAGAC